UCACCUCUGCAGGCUAGCUGGCCCCAGGGUGGGCUGGGCGAGUGUCUCUUCCAAAGGCUCACCCUUAAGCACGUCUAGGACA
rnacentral:pre_miRNA from 1 species